rnacentral:rRNA from 1 species
AUGCUAAUGGCAUGGUCACAACUCACGCGAUGGGCUGGUUGUUGGUACGUCCAGGUAACGGGCACCAACCGGCGCGACGGCGACGGGGGGCCUACGGCGUUAGUCGGUGGCGGCCUCGCGCUACUAGCUAAGAUGCAGUUUGCGCGCACCUCUGUUAUAAUCAGUGGCCUCGUUUUUUUCUCUCUCGUCUCCCCCACCGACAGAAAGAGGGGGGGAGGGGGGCUGUGUCACCGUGCGUUUAUUCCCCCGAGGUGUCGGCCUGCAUGUAUGCGUUUGGACCCUCGUGGCAGGCACCACCCCGACGCCAUUAGUUUAAUGGAGCUCCCGAACGAUUGCUGGUGA